CCUCCACUAGUCCUUGCAGCACCGCGAAUGACACUGGCCUCCUCGUAUCCACCGAUUUCUUACCCCUCCGAAAACCUCUUAUGGCUUGCCUGACCAAGAAAUGUUUCGUUAUAUCCUCCCAUCCAUUAAACUUAAAUAGGAAGGCCAACACCGACAUGUGCCUGUCAACCAUAGCUGGUGAAGCCUUCCUGGAAAAAAGUCG